AUUGAACGCUGGCGGCAGGCCUAACACAUGCAAGUCGAACGAGAGGCGGACGGGUGAGUAAUGUCUGGGAAACUGCCUGAUGGAGGGGGAUAACUACUGGAAACGGUAGCUAAUACCGCAUACCAUCAGAUGUGCCCAGAUGGGAUUAGCUAGUAGGUGGGGUAACGGCUCACCAAGGCGACGAUCCCUAGCUGGUCUGAGAGGAUGACCGGCCACACUGGAACUGAGACACGGUCCAGACUCCUACGGGAGGCAGCAGUGGGGAAUAUGGCACAAUGGGCGCAAGCCUGAUGCAGCCAUGCCGCGUGUAUGAAGAAGGCCUUCGGGUUGUAAAGUACUUUCAGCGGGGAGGCGUUACCCGCAGAAGAAGCACCGGCUAACUCCGUGCCAGCAGCCGCGGUAAUAC
rnacentral:rRNA from 1 species